GAGAGAGAGAGAGAGAGAGAGAGGAGGGGAGUGGGGCAGGAGUUGUGUAAAAGGGGCUGAAGUCCUGCGUUUUCUUCUGCUGCUGCUGCGCGUAAAAGUGGACUCAUGCAAAUGGUGCCACACCGUUUAUUUGGGUAUGUUUGUCGUUUUGUUUUUUUACGUCGUGGAUGUUAAAGUGAAAAGCCACUGCGAGCGACACGCCCUCCUCCCGGAGCUCCAGCGAUCGCUCCGCCGAGCAGCGGGCGAGGAAGCGUGAACUCCUGCCGGACCGUUCGGAGGAGCGACCCGGCCCGGCGGUCAAGGAAAAUAUGCGUCUAAAUCCGAAGAAGGGAAGAGACGGAGCCUUGUCCGUCACUCCAGGAUGUGUGUCUCUGAAACUCUCACGCUCGCUGGCUGACUCCCAGCGCUCCCUCCCCCCCCCCCCCCCCCCCCCCCCCCCCCUCCGCACCCCGCACCCUCGGCCCCGAAUGGCUGACACACAGCAGUUCUUCACUGGCAAGCUUUAUGUUCCUGUACACAUGCUAAAGCUGCCAGCUGAAGAACUGUUCUGGUCAGCCCUGCCCCGGACGACUCAAGAAAGAGGAAGCUGUGAGCUUGGGGGGUUGGGGGCUGAGGAAGCUCAGUGUUUCACUCGCUCAGUGGUCAAACUGUACUUUUCUUCUUUUUCUCCUAUUCUUGUGCUGAUCACGUGGAAGGUAGGCUGAACAGAAAGAUGUUCAAUCAGGCAAACGGCUGGUUUUGAAAAGUCUUUAGAACAUGGAGACUCAAUAAUGUAUUAAAACGUUUUUCAUUUUAUAUUAUAAGGUCUUGAAUGUUAUUUGUAUUCACUGUAAGCAUUAAUGUUACUUCUAAAUGUUUUUGUGUGUUUUGGGCAAAACCCGAGAGGAAAGCCUUUUUCCCGACCUCUGACCUUAUGUAAAAUUCAUCAAUUAACUUGAACCCCGCAGAAACCUUAUUGAAAUUUUGUACGUGAAGUUUUUGUUUUUCAUUUUCUUGCAAUAAAGAACAAAAUAUUG